rnacentral:rRNA from 1 species
GAUGAACGCUAGCGGCAGGCCUAAUACAUGCAAGUCGAACGGGAUCUGAGGGUAGCUUGCUACCCGAUUUGAGAGUGGCGCACGGGUGCGUAACGCGUGAGCAACCUACCCAUAUCAGGGGGAUAGCCCGAAGAAAUUCGGAUUAACACCGCAUAAUAAUACGCUAACACAUGUUGAUGUAUUUAAAUAUUUAUAGGAUAUGGAUGGGCUCGCGUGACAUUAGCUAGUUGGUAAGGUAACGGCUUACCAAGGCGACGAUGUCUAGGGGCUCUGAGAGGAGAAUCCCCCACACUGGUACUGAGACACGGACCAGACUCCUACGGGAGGCAGCAGUAAGGAAUAUUGGUCAAUGGGCGCAAGCCUGAACCAGCCAUGCCGCGUGCAGGAUGACUGCCCUAUGGGUUGUAAACUGCUUUUGUUAGGGAAUAAACCUUCUUACGUGUAAGGAGCUGAAUGUACCUAAAGAAUAAAGAUCGGCUAACUCCGUGCCAGCAGCAGCCGCAGUAA